UUUUGACAUUUAAAAUUCUGUCUGACAGCCUGGCUCUAAGUACAGUCCAUCAAUGUGUAUUUCGAUGCGGAAACAUGUACUGUUGGGAAUCUUUAUCUGGCUGCUGGCUGAAGUCCAGCCUAAUUCUUGCCAUCCAAUUGUGAAAAAGGACAGCGCUGACUUUGAGAAAUGGCCGCCCCCAACUGUUGCAAGGUUAUAAUAAUACGCUAUGAAUAUAAUUUUGCUUAGCCUAUUAAAACUCUAAAAAUU